CCUGGAAGACGGCCAGCGUAUCGGUACUAAAGCGGUGCUGGCCCCAACACAGCUCGCUGGGCCGGACGUGGAUGGCAAAUGGCUGACAGCCGGAUACACAAGCAGCCCCCUUCUUGGUGAGCUUCGGAGGAUGCAGGUGGACAGAAUCAAGGUUUCAGGAAUGAACUCCCUCACAUUUCCAAGUUUACAUCAUAUGACUGCUCCGACUACAGGGGAUGCCAAAGCCCAAACCUGAUGUAUGUAUGGUGCUCCUGUCUCAUCCAGGUCUGUAAGUGAGGGGAAGAGCCAGAACCUCUAGGCUUGGUGCUCUGGAAAAAGAAUUAGAAUUGCAUUCAAAUAGUCAGGCUUCAAGUUGCUUCUGCCUCUGUGUGAAGCAAAUAGUAACAACUCACUUUGAAACUCAGGCUCCUGGACUGCAAAUGCAGGUAAUGAUACUCACCCUACCAAUCUCAGGGACUGUUCUAAGAAUGAAAUGAAAUGAUAUUGAGCUCUGAAAAUGCUUAAAUGCUUUCCAAAGUAGAGUGAUUGUGCUUUCUGUAGCAUCAAAGACAGUCCUCUGUAACUGGGCAAAGUCAAGGCAUGGACCGGAUCUGACAACAGAGACUGGCUUGGCGGCUGGAAAAAGAAGAAAACGUCCCGAAUCUCUGCUUCCCUUACGGUGUAGAAACCGCCCCAUAGCACACUGCACCAGGUAGGGUUAAAUUGAUCCCAAAUGUCUCAAGAAUUUUUAAUGCCUUUCGAAGAGACACAGCCAGUUCUUUAUCUGCCGAAAGUAAUGCUGCUAACCUACCGUCAGUUUCCUCAGUGCUUUGAAGAUUUCUCUAAAGUCAUUUGACUUCGUUUCCCUUUGAUUUCAAAUUCCUGCUUAACCACUUAUUAUAGGUAUGACCUUGAGCCUUUUUAACUCAUGUGAGCCUCUCAGUUUCCUCAUCUAUAAAUUGUGAAUAAAAAGAGGUUACUGUAGGAUGAUUAGAAAUUUUAGAAAUAAUACUUCUAAUACUAGCAUAGUGCCUGAUCCAUAGGCAUUCAGGAAAUGCCAGCUAAGAUCACUAAUUAUUGUCAUCAUCUUUAGCAUCAUACACUAGACCAGACAAUCCCACAUUUAAAUCUGCUCUGUCACUUGUGAAAAGUGUAACCCUGAACAGCUUAAGAAAACUUUUUGAAGUUCAAUUUUGAGAUAAUGACGGAUGCUUUCAGAAUUCGUGAGAAUUUCAGAGGUACCAGCAAUAGGUUGAAAUGGUGAGCCCUCCAAAAGAUAUAUCUAUGUUCCAAACUCAGAACAUGUGAAUGUGACAUUAUUUGGGAAAAGGGGGUUUUGCAGAUAUAAUUAAGUUAAAGAUCCUGAGAUGAGAUCAUCCUGGA